UACAGAGGUCUCAAGCGUUGUUCGGAUUCAUUGGGCGUAAAGGGUGCGUAGGCGGCGCGGUAAGUCGGGUGUGAAAUCUCGGGGCUUAACUCCGAAACUGCAUUCGAUACUGCCGUGCUUGAGGACUGGAGAGGAGACUGGAAUUUACGGUGUAGCGGUGAAAUGCGUAGAUAUCGUAAGGGAAGACCAGUGGCGAAGGCGGGUCUCUGGACAGUUCCUGACGCUGAGGCACGAAGGUCAGGGGAGCAAACGGG
rnacentral:rRNA from 1 species